CUCUAUUCUCUCACCAUCUUCUCGUUUGUUCCACCACCGCACCAUUGCUUCUCCGGCGUGGUGAUAUGAUAACAUGACUUCCAUCACCGCAAUGAAAGGUAAACAUCGAAUUCUCCAAUGAGUGUACGCCACGUUUCCCUCCAUCUUCACUGGCCGGAACAACUCCGGUCAUCAUGAUCCGAUUAGCCGGCGGAUCACCACCAUCAUCACGAAAUCAGAUGAAGAAUUGAAUUUAGAAUUUGCACUUGAGAGAGUGAUCAAGGGGGUCGUUAGAAGCAAAAACGCAAUAAUCCAGUAAUGUUAGCACACACAGAAGGUGAUGUUAAUGAUCUCAGUAUUCAAAUUCGUGA
rnacentral:lncRNA from 1 species